GAUGAACGCUAGCGGCAGGCCUAAUACAUGCAAGACGAACGGUAAGUUGAGUAGCAAUACUUAGCCAAGAGUGUCGUACGGGUGCGUAACACGUAUGCAACCUACCCUAUACAGGAGGAUAGCCUAGGGAAACCUGGAUUAACCCUUCAUAGUAUUAUUGGAUGGCAUCAUUUGAUAAUUAAAACUGAGGUGGUAUAGGAUGGGCAUGCGUCUGAUUAGUUAGUUGGCGGGGUAAUGGCCCACCAAGACGAUGAUCAGUAGGGGUUCUGAGAGGAAGAUCCCCCACACUGGCACUGAGAUACGGGCCAGACUCCUACGGGAGCAGCAGUAGGGAAUAUUGGUCAAUGGAUGCAAGUCUGAACCAGCCAUGCCGCGUGCAGGAAGAUGGGCCUUCUGGGGUUGUAAAACUGCUUUUGCCAGGGGAUAAAAUUUCCAUGCGUGGAAAACUGAAGGUACCUGGUGAAUAAGCCACGGCUAACUACGUGCCAGCAGCCGCGGUAAUC
rnacentral:rRNA from 1 species